CAGUAGCCGCGGUAAUACAGAGGGUGCAAGCGUUAAUCGGAAUUACUGGGCGUAAAGCGCGCGUAGGUGGUUUGUUAAGUUGGAUGUGAAAUCCCCGGGCUCAACCUGGGAACUGCAUCCAAAACUGGCAAGCUAGAGUAUGGUAGAGGGUGGUGGAAUUUCCUGUGUAGCGGUGAAAUGCGUAGAUAUAGGAAGGAACACCAGUGGCGAAGGCGACCACCUGGACUGAUACUGACACUGAGGUGCGAAAGCGUGGGGAGCAAACAGGAUUAGAUACCCGCGUAGUCCCUGUCUCUUAUAC
rnacentral:rRNA from 1 species